rnacentral:lncRNA from 1 species
GAGGGCAGCAUCAAUUGCCCCAAAAUCCAGCAGACCUCACAUAAUAAUUCAACGAAACAUCUACCACAAAGAGCAGGUUUAUUCCAAUCACUCCAGCAUUUCAUUUUAUUUGUGCUUUCUGUUCUACUUUUUCUUCUUCCGCAAAAAAGAUCAGGUCUUUGGGGUUUUGCCUUGAUUAUCAAUCUUUUCUUCAGUUUAGUCUUAAGAUUCAUUUCAGAAAGGUGAAAACAAACUAAGGUUGGGUUCUGAUUUGUUCUCUAUUAUUAAUUUGUUUAUUUUGAAUUUCUUACGUGACUUCUAAGUUCUCUUCAUUUUUUUUUCUUCUAUUUUACUUUCUUUAAAAGAUUGGUCAUUAAAAGACUGAACCCCAACAGGUUAUUGCAUAUCUAUUAUUUAUACCAGUAGAAUGAACAAUAAAAUUUGUUACUUAGGGUCUGCUGACUCCUUUUUUGGUUUGAAUGUUAUAAAUGCAGUUAUCUUGUGGUAAUAAGCUUGUGAAAAAAUGUAUUCCGGACAAAGAAACAAACCAAAUUUGCAUAUGCUUGUUAAUCGAUCUCUGUCCUUCAGAGUUAGAUUAUAAACUUCAUGUAUACCGGGAGAUGAAGACAAGUAGUACUUGGAACAAAAAAAAGAGGUAAAAAUUGCUACUCCUUAUAGAUAGCUAUUUUGUAUAUGAAUUAUUUCCAGUAAUGUUAGAUUGAAUGUUUAGUUACAUGAAAAUCUUAGUUUUGUCGUGCUGCUUCUUGAAUUUAUCCUCAAAAAGAGAAAAAAACGGAAGUUAAUUGGUCAGCACAACUGAAGUCUAAGUAGUGUUCUCAGUUUGUUAAAGCAUCUGUUAUUUUUAUUUUACUAUUUUAAAAAUAUACGCUCUAGCGAAACCAAUAACUAUAUAGAUUCAAAAUUGAUGCAAAAAGGAGAAGUUCUCUACCUGAGAAUAUCAAGUGUAAUUUUUUAUAUUUAAGGUUAUGAUUUUUAUGCCAAUUAAAUGUACCUGUUGUAUCCUGAUAUGUGUCUGUUUACCUCAGGGGCGGAUCUACCUUAUGAGGUAGGGGUACCACGGCACCCGCUCGCUUCAAUAAAAUCCUUACUACGUACAUAAUAUCUCUGUGAAGAAACGUAUAUAUGGAUAGAGUGACACCUAGAAGUCACAAAGUGAAAGCGGGUGUCAUUGGUUUAGCCUUCCCUUUGAAGGCUUUCUUUGGCCUCAUGAAUGCAAGUUUGAUUCCCUGUUGGAGCAGCUCCUUUGAUUUUUUAUUUUUUCUACUUAUUAAGAUUUUCUUUAUUUUCAAUUGAGCCCUAGGGCCUCACCUCUUUUCCUUCUUUUUCGGCUCUUUCCCUCCUUAUCUUACUUUUAUUACUUGCUAAGUCUCUCUUCUUCAUUUUUUUAACUUUCAGUCCUCAUUUUUUUUUUCUAUUAUUAUACCUUACUUUAUGAACAAUUAUUUUCUAUAGGUAAUUUGAAUUGAUUUUAAUUAGCAUAUAAUUUUUUUUUAUUUUUAAUGAAACGAUAUUAAUUUAUAUAUUGAAAUAUAAUUUGAGCAAUAUCUUCUAUUGGGUUUUGAAAAAAAAAUUAAAUGGCUUGAUUGAUAGUCGUUUUGAGUCAAAUAUCAUAGGUUGAAUGUUGAAGGUUUUUCUUUGAAAAUAAUUGUCAUAUAACUCAACAAUUAAGAUAGAAAAAUAAACAAAAAACAAUACAAGUAAAUUAAUCUAGUCAAACAAAGAAUAUAUAGUGUAGUUAAGCUACUCUUUAAGCAAAUAUUUAUAUUGGAGGCGCUCUUUCAUGAAAUAUUAUUUUUCUUUUGCAUUUUUAUUUAGAAUGUGUUUAAAUUAAGCGUUAAAAAUUUGAACUAAAAUAACUUAUUUUUUGUGAAUAAAAUGCCUAUUCAAAUUAACCAAAAACUAAGGAACCGACCCAUUAUUCCUAAUUUGUCUUUGUAGCUACUGAUAUGUAUACUGUAUGCAUAACAUGGUGGCACCCGCAACCUUCGAAUCCUGGAUCCGCCUCUGGUUUACCUUAUUGUUCAACCUACCUGGGCUACUGUUUGUCGAAUUUACAAUAGAAAUAUAGUAAGUGAUAAUUUUGUUAAUGUUUGAAAGUGAAGUUUUUGUAGCGACAAUGCUUGGUGAACAUGUUGAUGAGAUUUGAAUUGUUGGGAGUAUCUACCAUAACUAUGUAUCAGCAUAAAUUUCAACAGUUUCUAUCCCUGAAUUUCUUUACAACGAGGCAUUUGAAAUCACCUUUUGUGGGUUCCAAUCAUAAUUUCCUUAAAACGUUGAUUAAUUUAUACUAUACUAUCAAUGCAUAGUAUUGAUAAGUCGAGUUAAGCAUAAUGUAGUGAUGGCAUAAAGUGGCUAAUUUUCACCCCAAAUUUUGGCCUUAAAAACUUUCAAUCAUGACCAAGUCGAAUAGCUGCCCCGCCAGAACUUUCUUUUGCAUAACUUUUAAUCUUUUAAUAUCCUUAGUUAUAGAUGCAAUUUUGGACUUUGGUUCGACUCCUACUCUGGAUUUCUGUAUAUAUAGUUAGGACUAACAGGUAAAUAUUCCUGAUUUGGGAAUUUUCCUGAAAUAUUAAAAUGUACUGCACAAUAAAUUAAAUAUAAAGCACUCAGAAUAUUUAAAAUAUUUUUCUGAUUAUUUAGUCUUCCAUUGUGGCAAUUUGCAACAGAUUGCUCUUCGAAUUUUUGGUUUACAUGAUUAGAGGUGUAAACCCAGAUGGUCCCUUAUGACAUUUUCUCUACACAGGCAAACUUACAUGUCUGCACAACUGAGUAUCAUUUCAUUUUUCUAAUUUUCUUCGACAUUUAAUUGUUGCAUUUCCUCGAAAGACCCGUGUCAGUAUUAAUUAAAAUAAUUUUCUUUAAAAAUUAAUUUAGCCAAUCCUUAUUCGUCAGCAAAAUGUUUAUGCUUGAAUGAACCACAAAUAGAACUACAGUACAAAUUAGAAGAAAUAAUGACUAUCACCAGCCCUACAAUAUUGAUAAUUGAUAAAUGAUCAUUAAAGGAACAAAAAAAAUGAUUCAAAAAGAUCUUUAAGUCUAAGGAAGGACAUUGUUCUGGAUAUGUAAAUUUAUAAUAGUGUUGACCUACAUGUUUACAUCUUGUCCACGUUUCUAUGUUUUUAUUUUUUGAUAAAUUUAGUUGGAAAUAUAAUGGCCACACUAUUUUGAUUUCACAGGUUCUUCAAAAUGCUGGCCUGGGAAGCAGAAACAAUGCUUCUACUAAAAUAAAAUACAUGACUUCGACUAAAAUAGGUGAUUCUGCACUUCUUUAGUCUAUUGUCAUAUGCUUAUUCAUAAUGCUAAAUAGUUAUGCUUUAUAUUUCAUGUUAUUGUGUUAAUAUGUCUCUACUUUAGUAAUAAAUUUAUAUGCCUACAAAUAACAGAAAGAUGGACAACGCAACGUUCAUAUCUUGGUGGAAAAAAUAGUGAUAAAUGCCUUAGACAACAUAUAUCACAUGGAGAGAAAUGGUACAUAAUUAAUUUUCCAUAAGACUCUUAAACAUCAUAAGAUUUGAUGCUAUAGAAAAACAUUCAUUAACUUCUAGCACUAGCAAAUAUUUUUAUCUCAGCUAUAAUGGUUCCUUAUACUUCGACAUGGUACAAAUAUAUAAAUUUGAUAUUUUUAGGUUAAGACAAUAAUUCAACUUUACUUCAGUCUUUAAACAAUUUUUUUUAUGUUAAAUCAAAAAUUUAUAAGCUCCUUGGGCCCGGGCUACCGCCAACUAGUAUUUAAGAAGAGGGAAAUGUGCUGCAUGUGUCUCCACCUUUAUCUAUUGUACAUUUCAACUCUAGGAACAAUUCCUAGAGUUGUACCGAUAAAUAUUCACAUUCCAUAAAAUGCUCUUGGAAUUUUUUCGUGAUUUUUGUCCAAAUUUAUUAACAAAUGGCCAAAUAUUAAUAACUUUGAAAAGCUGGCUAAAACUUAAUAUCAGUCUAAAAAUAGGUAUUUUCCAAUUUCUUGUAGAAAUGACACUAGGUAGCCACUCUAAAGGGCUAUUAUUUAAAAAUUAGCAAAUACGUCCUGAAUUUUAGUUUUAAAGUACUGACUAAUCUCUAAACAGCUUCCUGAGAAUGGUUAUCUAUGCCCUUGCCCCCAAUUUCUUCCAUUCAUUAACCGCGGAUUACGUCCAAGAUCUUUUGCAGUCGGCCCAUUGCCUAAAUGCAUUUAACCAGCAACGGAGUCACGGCCCACUUCGCUGCACUAAGAAUUGCUGGUAAAAGUUGGAAGGCCCAAACAGAACUCAUUUCCAGAAGAAAAUUAACUGAAAUAGUCAUCCAUCCAACCGCUUCAACUAAAAAUAGCCGGUGAAAGUAUAGUAUAAGUAUAAUUUAUAUAUUAUAUAUGUAUAAUUAAUAUAUAAACUAUGUAUAUGGUUAGAAAAAAAUAAACAAUGAAUAUGGAGGGCUAUUUGUGUAAACAUUUAGCAGCAUAUGAUAGUGCCUAGAUAGUCAGUGGCCCAAAAGCAUAUAGACAAAUUUAGGAUUUAAUCAGAGUUAAUAAAUUCUGAAUGAGUGUAAUCUUAUAUGUAUAUGUUUAAUUCACAUUUUUAUUUAUACAAAAUGUAAAAUUCUUUGAAUCGAUGAAAAUAAUAAGUUCAAUUGAACCUAAAGAAUUAGCUCUAACUCUGUCUUUGCUAGAUAAGAAGAGCAAGGGCGUAUGUAGCAUUAAGGUGAUAGGUACAACUGAAUCCAUAACUUUUGAUGAAGAUCAUAAAUUUAUAUAUAAAAAUAGUAGAUAUGAACUCAUAACUUUACAAAUAUAAUAAUUUCAAUGUUAAUCAUCUUAAAUUUUGAAUCCAUAAAAUUUAAUCCUAAAAUCCUCUCUCAAAAUAAAUAAAUAAAAAGGACAACUCGAUGCAGUAAGUUAAGUUAUACACGAGAAAACAAUAUGCAUUUCUCAAAUACUAGAAGAAGACAGGGUUGGUAGAAUGGGGCUCACAAUUAUUCCACGUAGUAAAACAUCUCUGUGUGUAAUUCGUGUACGUGGAUAUCGUUCCUAUUUUUUUAAGUGAAACUUUGGCUACUCCUCUUUAAUUUCUUCCAUUUGUAUAACAAGACAAGAAAAAUACUGAUUGAGAUGAUAGAUCAGUAUCGCAUUUAAUUUGGAUCGUAGUAUCUGCUAUUCAGUUUAGAUUAAUUAGUAGAGUAUAAGAUUCUUUUUGUAUAAUUACGUGUCUUAGUGCUGACGAAUUUCCCAACAGUUCACUACACUCAAAAGUCUCAUUCGGGGAUUUUAAUCAAAUAUUGAGAUAAGGUUUCGACGGCGUCUCUAUCAUAUUGUUGAUAUAUUAUGAGAAAACGACACUUACAAAUUCCAAUAAAAUCUAUAAGACUGUUACUCUCUAUGAUCCACUUUAAUUGAUUUUUUAAUUUUUUUUUUAUGAUUCAUAAUAUUUGAUUUUUCAUAUAUAAAGAAGGAGUUAACUUUUUUUAAAAAAAACAAAAUUGCCCUUAUUAGAGUAAAGAGCCUAGGAGUAUUUUAAUUAAGGUUUCAACAUCAACAAACCUAGUAUAAUCCACAUAAUGGUGUCUGGGGAGGAUAUUGUGUACGCAGCCUUACCCCUACCUUGUUGAGAUAGAGAGGUUAUUUCCAAUAUUUUAAUUAAGAUUAAUAUGGUCAAUUUCAUUGUUAAUUAAUGCUAAAAAGUAAAUUUUUUAAUACGUGAAAAUAAUAAAAAAAAAAAUCAAUUAAAGUGAAUUGGAAAAAGUAUUAUUUGUUAUAUUUCAGAUCCAUGAAAAAGAUAAGAGACAGUCUUUAAGGCUUGUUACACAAUUGAAAAGAGGAUUUGUUAUGGGAAAUGUGUUUUUGUGUUUCGUAUAACUUGAAGUUGAACAAAGAUUGGAACUUUCAAUUGGUUUUGUUUUUCCUAAUAUUCCUAGACCUGAAAGAUGCUUAUAACAUUAGAGCUAGCUAAUACAGUUGACAUCUUUGCUCAAUUUAUUUAUAUGGACAAAUGAAACAACAUAAAACGAUACCCUUACAUUGAGGUCGAAAGUGAGACUAUCAGGCCACUGACCCCUAAUAUCAUUUAGGAAUUUUUACCUAGCUAUACUAUAUUAGAAACUAUACCCAGAAUCUCCAUCUUCUCUCUUCCCACCAUUGCCGACAGCUUUAUAUUAUUAAAAAAUCGUCAAUUGCAUCGUUCUUUUGUUGGGAGACUGGACAACAACACUGAAAAUGAGGAAAUAUUCAGAAAUUGUAUGAUAACUGUAUCAUAAUUGUAUUUGAACUGUAUCAGAUACAACAAUGCCUAAAACAUAAUUGUAUCAUACUUGUAUCACAAUUGAAUCUAACUUGUAUGUGGUACAUUAAUACCCAAAAUAAUACCUGAUACAAUACUAAUACAUUAAUAUAUAAUUAUCAUAUAUUUAUGAUACAAACUGUAAAAUAUGUCACGAACUCACAACUGCUCAUAACAAUAUACAAUAAAUAUACAAUUAUCAUACAUUUGUUAUACAAUUCCUUCAACAAUUAUGAUAUAUAUAUAGAAUUAUAAUACAAUCGCGAUACAUUUCUGAAAAAUUGUGAUACAACUAUGAUCUUCAUCUUCUUCAAGUUUCAAUCACAACUCUACAUUAAAAAUCUAAUAUAAUCGUAUUAGUAUUGUAUCAAGCAUUGUUUUGGGUAUUGAUGUAUCAUAUACAAGUUAUUUUAGAAAGAAAGAAAAUAAGAUUCAAAACUUACCCACAUGAUUGUAGAGCAAUAUUCUGAAUUUCGUCUACAUUGUAUCAAUAAGAAAUAGAGAUUUUGGGUGAUUAGUAAGAAAGAGAGAAAUUUGGUUUGGAAAUCUUUGGAAAAGGAAAAGAAUUAGAAAUUCGGGGGGAGGGGUUUGAGGGGGAGGGGGUAUAAAAAUAAAAGAGAGAUUUUAGGUGAUUAUUAAGAAAGAGAGAAAAUAUUUUUGACAUCCUUUGGAAGAGAAACAUAAUCUUAAAUAUGUGGGGGCUUAUUGAAAAUUGGGUGGGUGUCGUGUAACUAACACGCUAAAAUUGAGGGAUCUUGAUUUUUUUUUCUUUUUUAUGGUUUUGUAUAUAACUUAUAAUUAUAGAUAUACAAAGUAAUUAAUAAGGAAUCUAAAUAAGGGUGGUAAAUAGGUUUAUUAUAGUAUAGCUAGGUAAACAUUUGUCAGUUUUAAUUUUGUUGGGCUUUCGGAAUACACAGCCUCAGGCCCAAAGCAGAAAACAUGUGUGAGGCCCAAUUAUUUAUUCUGUAUAUAGUUAGUCGUAGCUACUCUUUGUAACACUUAGCCAAUUUAUUUUGUAGCCAUUGUUUAUAAUGUGUACUCAAUUUGUAAGACAUCUAGACCGGGUUAUUAGGUUGAUAUAAAUACAUAAGGGCCCAGCUGUACUAGGCAGGCCGUGCACUAUUCAGUUAUUUUUUUCGUGUUCUCUCUGUUACUAUCUGAUGAGAAAGAUCUAGAAUCCCUAAGCGACCAUUAACAAAUCCCUCCAUUUUACUCGAUUCUUCUACUAUUAACAUGGUAUCAGAGUGGUGAACCCGUUAGUCCUCGUCUUUUUCUAUCGAGCCGUGUUACCUCUAUCAGUUUCUGUUAAGUUUGAUUUUCAUCGUGGCUUUGAGAUAUCUCUUAUUUUCGAUCGAAGAUUCAUUUUUGUGGCUUUGCCUUCUCCUAUAUGUCAUCGGUAAAGCAGUGGUGCUGGUUUAAAUUGAGAUUUUCUGGUAUUCAUCGGAGUUUUAUAUGUUCUGCUCCGACCUAGGGUUUAUCUGCAGUUAAUCAG